rnacentral:rRNA from 1 species
AUGCCUUACGAUGAGCGGUACACACCGUACAUCAAGCAGGCAGGACUACUCCCGUGGAUUCUAUUGGUCAGCCGGUCCACGCCGAAUCUGAACGCUCCACUGGUGUCCGCUCUUGUUGAUCGGUGGAGGCCAGAGACCCACAGUUUUCAUCUUCGGACCGGGGAGAUGACCGUGACGCUCGAGGAUGUCUCAUUGAUCACCGGUCUUGCUAUCGACGGGAGGCCUCUAUGUAUGAGCACCGAUUCUGAUGGGUGGCGCGAGCAGAUGAUUGCUCUUAUCGGUAUGGCUCCUACCGAGGCUGAGGAUGAUGUAGAGGAGGGAGAAGAGAAGAAGAAGAGGGAAAGGAAGGCAGCCGGAGCUGCUUUCACGUGGAUUCAAAAUAACUUUGCGACGUGCCCUCCGGAUGCAACUGAUGAUGUGAUCCAGACACAUGCUCGUGUGUAUAUGUGGUACAUUGUGUCGAGGACUUUGUUUCUUGACUCCACUGGCAAGAACGCUCCAUGGAUGUGGCUGAAGGCGUUGACCGUCUUCGAUAGCAAAUGGAGCUGGGGUUCAGCGACUCUUGCCUACUUGUACCGACAGGUAGUUGGUCUGUUUUGUGAUCAACUCAUUUAUUCAUUAGCAAUGCAAGCUUGCUGUCAAGUUAACAUUGUUUUUCUUUCAUAUGUAGCUGGAUGA